rnacentral:lncRNA from 1 species
GAAAAAUGCAGUGGGCUCCCUGUGGUCUGCCCACAAAGGACCUGGCAGGUCUUCUGCAAGCCUGGGGACCAGGGUGAGAAUACCAAAGCUUGGAAGAGUUGUAUGCGUUUCUCACGUCUCACAAUGGCUCCUCCUCUCCUGAUGGUGCUGUAGCUCCUUGAAAAAGCACCUGUAAUGCUUGAAAAUAGCAAUGCAACAGUAGGAAGGAAAAAAAAAACAACAAUAAAAGCCAUACAGAUCACCCACGUCUUGGCUCCAUGGAUGCUCUGGGAAUUGCUUUGUGUGCAA